GAGGAAAGCCCAGCGACGCCGGGCCAGCGCAUUCUUAUUUUAUGUAUGAGCAAACUAUGGAAUGGAAAAGAGAUUAUGAGUUAUUACUUGAUUUGAUUUGCCCUAAGUGUUUUUUAAACGAAGAUCUGGCAAGAGUUAGCGUGCAGUUCUACAUUGUGACAAUUCAUGAGAGCUAAGGACUGGCUGUCUCUUGGGACAAAUAGGCUUUCUUGAGUCUGCAUGAGGCCCUCACCAGAUACAGCCACCUGAUCUUGGACUUCACAGCCUCCAGAAAUAUGCCCUGGAAUACACUUGUGUCAGUGACAAAUGCUGCUUUGCUGUGCUACAUCGAGUACAAGAGAAAUACAUGGGCUAUCUUCAGCACAGAACACAAACUCUGCCUUCUUUUCUCAAGUCCAGUGAUUCAAGUUUGACACACCACACCACGGUGGAUGUGCCUUGUCAUGACACAUCUUCUCAGCAGCACUAGAAGAUACAUCCAAAGUCCUGUGAGCAAGGACACAGCGAGAAGAUGGCUGUCUACAAGCCAGGAAGAGAGUCCUCACCAGAACCAAACCCUGCUGGACUUUGAUCUUGGACUUCCCAGCCUCUAAAACUGUGAAGACAUAAAUUUCUGUUGUUAAACCCACACAGGUCUGUGGUAUCUGUUUAUUAUGGCAGCCCAGUAAGACUAAGACAGGCCAUCACAAGACAUGAAUGUUUUGGACCUUCUCUUGGGCCCUAGUAAACAGAAAUCAGGUACGCAAAAGGGGUAAGCAUAUAAUUUCCUUUAUUUUUAUUUUUAAUGUGUAAGCCUUAGGUUUUUAUUUAUUUAUUUGGUGAAGACAAUCACAUUGUGUACGUACAAUGUAAUUAUAUUGUUGACGAGAAGUUACUUAAAAUUUUUUAAAAAUUCUAAUCGAUUUCUAGAUGUCCAAAUGAGAAGAUAGCAUUUAUAUACCAUCAGAACAUAAAAUAAUUCAAAAAAAUAAAUUUAUAAAACAAUAUGUAUUAUAUUGAGAGAAAGAGAGGGAGAGAGUAUUGGAAGAAUAUAUGCAAAUACAAUGUGAUAAUGUGAUGUCUUUGUGAGAAUGCUAUAUGUCAUUUUCUUUGUUUAUAUGAAUUUUUACAAUUUUUACCUUUGAAAUAUAAAAAAGAGAGAAUAAAAGUCAUUGAAAAAAUCAAAAGUAACUAUUUUCAUAGGUGAGUAAGUAUACAUCUUUAACAGAACAGCAAAGAGUCGAUGAAUGUUCAGAGAUAUUAUAUAAGUAACAGAUAAGAAGUGUCCUGAUCUAUGGUAUUCAUUCUCAGUUGCAAAUAUAUAUGCAAAAAACCCCACA
rnacentral:lncRNA from 1 species